GGAGAGGUGUCGGAGUGGUCUAUCGAGAUAGUCUUGAAAACUAUUGUGGGUGCAAGCCUACCGCGAGUUCGAAUCUCGCCCUCUCCG
rnacentral:tRNA from 1 species